UGCUAAAUUAAGAACAUUUUUGAGCUGAAGAGUUUUGAUUGUAUAUUUGCAUCAAUAGGAGUCUAAGGGUUAAUGAUUUAUUUGACAGGAUAGUGUGGGGAACAAAACACAGGCAAAUAAGUAUGAGUUUUUUAUCCUAUUGCUGUCUUAGACAAGAUAAUAAAUCUGCUAAACUGUUAAGUCGGUCAGUAUUUAAAAAUCUUUGUUUUUACUUGUUUUGUUCUUGCUAUCAUACUAAUUUAAAUAUUACAGUAACUGAAAGCUUUAAUACUUUGACAGAUCAGCCGAGUUGUCCUGCAAAGAGCUGCAAUACCAGUUCAAGUGGAGAUACUGAAGUGGACUCAGAUGACACAAUAAUAUUACAACACAGUCCUACAACAAGACGAAGAGUUGAAGACGCCUCACUUGCCAAAGCGGUUGCUGUCAUUGGUGAGGAUGCAUCAUCCGUUGACGGUCAUGUGAAUGUCCUGCAUAUCCAGUACAGCAAGGUGCGAGAGGAUAUACUAAAGAAGUACCCUUUCUUGAAGACAACCUCAGGGUUGUUUGAUGAUGUUGACCGAAUGCAUCCAUCACCUGUGAGUUUAAGACAGCGCUUCAAGGACGGCGUUUACCAGUAUUGUGCCAAAGGUGCUUGAGCUUGUUCAAAGAAAAGCUCCAUUAGCCAAAGUCUCCAAA